rnacentral:lncRNA from 10 species
AGUGUUCGAUACAUAGAGUCACCGGACUUGUCAUUGUUUUCAAUCCUGGGCUUGCGCUUUAUUUUCCACAGUGCAGACAUCAUCAGGAAUGUAUUCUCAUGGUAAUUAAUUCUACCACCUGACGUGUUCAGCACGGAGACAGAAGUUUCUUAAAAUAUUCCCAGAGCACCAAACGCCUCCUAGCUCUGAAGAGAGCAUCCUCUCAUAUGGACGUCCCAUGCUGGUUUUCCCAUGAAAAUCUACGGCCACGUCUCAACGCAGCAAGGACAGCGACGGUGAGACCCCGGAGCUGCACUCGCUUCCCACCAGUGCCCUCUGGGAAGCUGUCAAAGGCUAAACUGUGGACCAGAACUCAGGCUUUGAUUUCACCUGGCUAAACAACAAAAGUUCCAGAAAGGGAGAGCUGAAACUGGCAAGAAAACAAAGCACAAAAUGCCUCCCCGGGAUGUAAGCGUCUCUGCCCUGCAGCCUGAGAUCAGCUGAUUGGCCAGCAUCCUGCACUGCUCAGGAAUAUUAAACCUGCCCGGCUCCGACAACUUUCAAGGUUUGUUACCAAGGCUAUAAUUUGGAUUUCAUUUCCUGCUAUUCAGCAACAUCUCAGAAGCAAAAACACUUCGUCCAUGGAGAGGCCUGGUAACCACAUACAGCUGUGUAGGUGACAUUGUCAGCUGUGAUUCUUCAGUGGUUCAAAGCAUGGGAUGUGAAAAUGAAAAUCUCUCACCUUGCUGCUGUGAUCAGUCUCAUCUGAGGAUUCCAAGUCUGGCCCCUCGGUCUCCUCUGGAGCGGUCUCAGCACUGCUGCCCUGCUCGCUGCAAAGGCUGUGCCCUGUCAGAUGAAAUCAGAAGAAAAUGUGGGUCAACAUGGACAGUAAUUGCUAAAAGCCACCCCUGUGUGAGGGGGACAAGGAAUCUCGCUCAUGACAUGUACAUAUACUGUAAGACCCUCCAAGUACAAGCUCCAUCACCUGGGCUCAAUCAAAUUAAAAUGAUAGUUGUUACUGUUACUACUAGUAUUAUUACUUUAUAUUUUUCAUAAUAAAUAAUAGUUGUUGUGGAUUGAAUGUCUUUGUCUCCCC